GCCCCCGCCUGCCCCCGCCGACACCGGCACCGGGUAACGGAGCGGUACCGGUCACUGGGCAACAGCGCCGGGUAAGGGCACUGAGUAACGGCACCGGGCACCGGGUAACAGUGCCGCUACCGGGCACGGGGUAAUGGCAUCAGGCAGCGGCACUGGGUGACGGUACCGGGCACCAGCACAGGUUAGUGCCACCAGUACCAGCACCAGCUACAGGUAAUGGCACAGGGUGUCAUAAGUGAGCAGUGGCACAGACACUAGGAUUGAAAACAGCUGGAGGCUUCAACACCAGCAGCUGCUGUAGGACACAAACCAGCAGCAGAAUUUGGCAGUAAGUACCAGGGAAGCCCAAAGCAGCACCAAGCCUUGGUUCUGGGGGCAGGAAUGACCAAAUGAGUACCAGGUGGCCACAGACGUGACUGCAGGGCUGCGUGUGCUGACACUGGGCCCUCUGUGUGAAGCAGCCCUGGCUGCACAGUGCUCAUUCCCACCACAGGCCUGGGCUGACACUUUGCAGCUACGUGCACGGCCAAGAUCCCCAGUGCUGCCACAGCCUCAGGCACCUGCUGGGACAAGACACUGCAUCCCCUUCUUCCAAGCUGCCACGUCCCCUGCAAGCUGCGAGGAGACCCAGGGCACUGCCAGCUCCUCCGCAGUUGCUCAAGCAGGGAAAGUUGACAGCGGCCAUAAGAAAACCAUCCUGAGGAGCUCUUGCACAGCUGGCACCCACAGCAGACUCCUCUGGCAGCGCUGUCACCCUGGGGCAGUGGGGUGCCCCAGGUGAUGGGCACCCCAGGGUGCGGCUGCCGUGCGGUGAUGGGCAGAGGCGGCAGCAGGAAGCAAUACUGGGUGUGAUCGUUCUGCCCCAGCGCUCGCACCCACCACAUGGGAUCUCCUGGGCUUUCACUUUCGCUACCGACUCAUCUUCUGUGGCCUGAAAAAACUCCGGAGGGAAAUUCAGCAGCCAGGUCCCUCUCCUGCUCCAGGCUGGUGGAAGCACAGGUGAGCUUUCACCAGUGGGAAUCCAGGAAGGAGGGGCUCGUCUCUCCUUGUGCCAGUGCUGGAACAGGAUCAUUCUCAGACAGCUGCUGCACCAACAAUUGCAAAUCACUUGGCCACUGUGUCAGAGCACAGCCCAGGUUCCCACCUCUCUGCUCUUGAACUAAAGUCCUCUGGCUCCAGGCUCCUCACUGCCUCGUCCAGCUCCACGCUCCCAAGAGAUAAAUACCUGUGGGCUGGGCAGGGACCAGCCCAGCACCUGCUCCAUGCAAAUGCCAGCCACAAAACGGUGCUUUCCAACUCGCCAGCCCCACUCUGUGCCCGGAGCAGCCUUGGUGAAUGACUGAAUGAGUGACUCCAGCCCAAACAGCCCCCAGCUCCCACAAACUGUUCUGCUGCCUGCGCUCACCCGCUUGGGAGAAUCUCACGCACACAGGCUGACACAUCACUGCUGAGCCGCUGCCAGCAGAGCCCUGGCUGCAGUUCCCAGUGCUCCUGGGGCACCCCAGACCUCACCGAGAGGUGAGCUGGGACCCUGGCAAGCAGGGACAGGCACCCAAGGUGAAGCCAGCAGCUCCCACACGGUCUGUAUGCCACGAGACAGAGGAAAAGGAAUGCAGAAUGCAGCACAGGGCCCUGGUGCCUGCCCACCCUGCUGGGCUGGGAUGCUCUUGCUCUGGUCCCAAGGAAAACUCCAAGCUGGCUGGUGGGGAUGUUACCAGGAGAAAUUCUUUCUUUCCAGAGGAAAAGAACACAGGAACAGUGACUGAAGCAGUGACCAAUGGAGAGGCUGCCCCUGGAUCUGCCCUGAAACUCCAUCCUAGCGAUGCCCCGAAGCGAUCUUAGCCCUGCCCUGGCUCUCUUGGGGCCUCAGAAGGUGUCGGGAAGCCUCUGGGAAGGUGAGCGUUAUCCGGGCUGAGCCGCAGCGGACGCACGGCCACCUCGCAUGAGCUCAGCAGGAUGCCGAAUGACGCCGGCAUUCCGGGGACUGAGGGAGUCUGCAGCUCCGUAAUGGAUUUCCGAGAAAAUUGCCUCUGUGUUUGGAGCAGGAGUGCAGCGAGUGCGGGCGGAACAGCCUUCCUUUCUAAGUGGCAUCUCAAGGGUCUUAAUUAUUUAUCAGGAGUGGAAGCAUUUAUUUAGGCGGCUUUGGAGAGGUCCUGACGCUUUUGGCCACUGCCCUCCGGGUACAUCCUGUAUGCGAGGCUCCUCUGCAAUCCUGUGCAGAGUGCUGGGCUUGGGCAAAGCACCAACACCCAACCACGGCACCUGCGGGCAGGACACGGCCUCGGCUCCAUCCCCUCCUGCCUCCCGGGAGCAGGACACCUCCUGGGAGAGCCCAGCCCCAUCCAAUCCCUGCUUCGCAACCCUCACGCUCCCAGGUCUCAAAACAAAACCCCCUUGUGAUAA